GUGGCAGCACUGACCCCUGCGGGCUGCGCCGGCUCCGCGCCGGAGGGAGUCACAUCGGGAACGGGUUUCGUCUCUGCGCUUGACAAAGAAGUGCUUCAGGAGACACCACGAGUGAAGGGUCCAGCAGAGGAUGAAUUUUUGAAAGUCCCCUAGAUCGGAGGUCUAUUCUCCAUCGAGCUGUUGAAUACUGUGCUUGCUACAGCCAGCUAUUGCCGACACCUAAGCACUUGAUAAAGAAGCAGUACCAGAACCUGCUACUUGAGGUGAAAGCCUGGGAGGAGAUCCUGAAAUUCAGAAGAGACAAAAUCAACCAGGGGAGCAGAGGAAGAGAGGAUGGAAUAGAUGGGAUCUAGACUAUGAACCAGUAUGAGCCCUGAGAAGCUCAGGAAAUCAGAACAACCAGCAGGCAAAAACAUAGUGCCUAGCUUUUCCUUGGAGCACCAUGUUACAGAAGACCAGCCCUGCCUCAGUAUUUCAAGUAUCAGGACCACCUCACAACUCAUGAAGAUCCUGAGAUAGUCAUCUGUUUUCCAAAUCCAUUAGGAAACUGAGCUCCCUUUUACUUCUCUCUACAAUAAAAAACACAGGUCAAGCA